rnacentral:rRNA from 1 species
UACGUAGGUGACAAGCGUUGUCCGGAUUUACUGGGCGUAAAGAGCGCGCAGGCGGUCGAUCAAGUCCGGUCUGAAAGCCCCCGGCUCAACCGGGGAGGGUGGCUGGAAACUGGGGUUCUUGAGGGCGAGAGAGGAGGGUGGAAUUCCUGGUGUAGCGGUGAAAUGCGUAGAGAUCAGGAGGAACACCCGGGGCGAAGGCGGCCCUCUGGCUCGACCCUGACGCUGAGGCGCGAAAGCGUGGGGAGCGAACGGG